CUACAGAAGUAUAUUAUUGAUGUAUUGUCGACAUGCAUAACUAGAUGCUUGUUCAAUGUACAUUGUACAUUCUAAUUUUCUGCUAAUCCUACAUAACUUAGAUUUUGAACCAUUACCAAAUCAACAGAUACUCUAUAUAUUACACUUUAACAUCACCCCGUUAUUGUUGCAGCAGAUACGAUGAUGCUGACAUAACAUCCAUAUCAGUAAAGUAAACACUGAGCCGUCAAAAAAUAUCCAUAUCAAUGGAGCUAACUAGCACUCCAUCAUCUUCCCAAUUUAUAUCCUUCGCCACUGGAUCCUUUCCUAUCAAUUUUAGAGGAACAUCUAAUGGAGGUGGACUCUGCAUCAAAUACAUAGGAACAUAAGCAGAGAUAUGACAUGUCACGUUGAGUGAUACAGAUUCAUUGUUCUUGAGAUCCUUGAAUGUACAUUUUGUCAGCCAAAGUAGUCCCCACAUCAGGACCUUAUGGACUGAUUUGGAUUAUAAAUUCAAAAUUGACCAAGUAAAUGGAUAUUUAGGGAUAUUUGUGGUAAUCAAUAUUUUUCUAAUCACUGACUUGAAAAGUAAUGACAAGGAUUUUACCAUGUUGCGGAUUAGAGGCCAAUUGAUUCCACGGAAAAAAGGGUGUUGCUUGAUUUCAUUUGCACCAGUGGUUGAACCUAGACGACUUGUUGGAUCUCUCUGCAGUAGUGCAUUAAUCAACUGCCUGGCUGCAAGACUGGCCUGAAAUUUUUUUGAACUGUAUCAGUUGAUGUAGUAAGAUAAAAACAGUAGCACAGUGAAUUAUGAUAAUUUGCACACUUUUUGUGAAAUGUAUCUAUGGAUGUCAAAAGACCACUUCCUCUGUCAAUACAAUGUACUAUUUUUCACACCUAUAGAGGAAUUUGAAAUCAAG
rnacentral:sRNA from 1 species